rnacentral:rRNA from 1 species
AGUGAACGCUGGCGGUAGGCCUAAAACAUGACAGAAGAACGGCAGAACAGAAAGAGAUUGAAAAAAAAAGUGGAGAGUGGAGAAAGAAAGAGAAAAAAAUAGAAAUAACCUUAUAAGAGAGGGAUAAAGUAGGGAAACUUACGCUAAUACCGCAUACGACCUACGGGUGAAAGCAGGGGAUCUUCGGACCUUGCGCGAUUGAAUGAGCCGAUGUCGGAUUAGCUAGUUGGCGGGGUAAAGGCCCACCAAGGCGACGAUCCGUAGCUGGUCUGAGAGGAUGAUCAGCCACACUGGAACUGAGACACGGUCCAGACUCCUACGGGAGGCAGCAGUGGGGAAUAUUGGACAAUGGGCGCAAGCCUGAUCCAGCCAUACCGCGUGGGUGAAGAAGGCCUUCGGGGUGUAAAGCCCUUUUGUUGGGAAUGAAAAGCAGCAGGUUAAUACCCCGCUGUUCUGACGGUACCCAAAGAAUAAGCACCGGCUAACUUCGUG